rnacentral:rRNA from 1 species
UACGGAGGGUGCGAGCGUUGUCCGGAAUCACUGGGCGUAAAGGGCGCGUAGGCGGCGCGGAUAGUCGGCGGUGAAAGCCCGGAGCUCAACUCCGGGUCGGCCGUCGAUACUUCCGGGCUUGAGCACUGUAGAGGCAGAUGGAAUUCCGGGUGUAGCGGUGGAAUGCGUAGAGAUCCGGAAGAACACCGGUGGCGAAGGCGGUCUGCUGGGCAGUUGCUGACGCUGAGGCGCGAAAGCGUGGGUAGCAAACAGG